rnacentral:rRNA from 1 species
GCUCAACCGAGGAAGUGCUUCGAAAACUGGUAAACUUGAGUGCAGAAGAGGAAAGUGGAACUCCAUGUGUAGCGGUGGAAUGCGUAGAUAUAUGGAAGAACACCAGUGGCGAAGGCGGCUUUCUGGUCUGUAACUGACGCUGAGAUUCGAAAGCAUGGGUAGCAAACAGGAUUAGAUACCCUGGUAGUCCAUGCCAUAAACGAUGAGUGCUAAGUGUUGGAGGGUUUCCGCCCUUCAGUGCUGCAGCUAACGCAUUAAGCACUCCGCCUGGGGAGUACGAUCGCAAGAUUGAAACUCAAAGGAAUUGACGGGGGCCCGCACAAGCGGUGGAGCAUGUGGUUUAAUUCGAAGCAACGCGAAGAACCUUACCAGGUCUUGACAUACCAUGAAAAGCUAAGAGAUUAGUCUUUCCCUUCGGGGACAUGGAUACAGGUGGUGCAUGGUUGUCGUCAGCUCGUGUCGUGAGAUGUUGGGUUAAGUCCCGCAACGAGCGCAACCCUUAUUAUCAGUUGCCAGCAUUCAGUUGGGCACUCUGGUGAGACUGCCGGUGACAAACCGGAGGAAGGUGGGGACGACGUCAAAUCAUCAUGCCCCUUAUGACCUGGGCUACACACGUGCUACAAUGGUCGGUACAACG